UACAUAAUUUGGCAAACUGUGUGAAAGCAUAGGACGCAAAGCCACGGGUCUUCGCAUAGCAUGAUAGCCGGGUUGCAAAG
rnacentral:ncRNA from 1 species